AUAGAAUAGGACGUGUGGUUCUAUUUUGUUGGUUUCUAGGACCGCCGUAAUGAUUAAUAGGGACAGUCGGGGGCAUCAGUAUUCAAUUGUCAGAGGUGAAAUUCUUGGAUCUAUUGAAGACUAACUACUGCGAAAGCAUUUGCCAAGGAUGUUUUCAUUGAUAAGGAACGAAAGUUAGGGGAUCGAAGACGAUCAGAUACCGUCGUAGUCUUAACUAUAAACUAUGCCGACUAGGGAUCGGACGAUGUUAUUCUUUGACGCGUUCGGCACCUUUCGAGAAAUCAAAGUGCUUGGGCUCCAGGGGGAGUAUGGUCGCAAGGCUGAAACUUAAAGAAAUUGACGGAAGGGCACCACCAGGGGUGGAACCUGGGGCCGGGCUGCCCGGACCCCCUCCCCGGGUGCACUGAUCCAGCGGGGCCUUCCCCUCGGUGGACCCCCAGGGCCUUCACUGGCUUUGGCGGGGAAACAGGUCUUUUAC
rnacentral:rRNA from 1 species